UACGGGGGGAGCAAGCGUUGUUCGGAUUUACUGGGCGUAAAGGGCGCGUAGGCGGCCUGUGCAAGUCAGUUGUGAAAUCUCCGGGCUUAACUCGGAACGGUCAACUGAUACUGCUCGGCUAGAGUGCGGAAGGGGCAACUGGAAUUCUUGGUGUAGCGGUGAAAUGCGUAGAUAUCAAGAGGAACACCCGUGGCUAAGGCGGCUCUCUAGUACGGUACUGACGCUGAGACGCGAAAGCGUGGGGAGCGAACAGG
rnacentral:rRNA from 1 species